CCUACGGGAGGCAGCAGUAGGGAAUAUUGCUCAAUGGGCGCAAGCCUGACCCAGCAACGCCGCGUGAAGGAAGAAGGCGUUCGGGUUGUAAACUUCUUUUGUCAGGGAAGAGUAGAAGACGGUACCUGACGAAUAAGCCACGGCUAACUACGUGCCAGCAGCCGCGGUAAUACGUAGGUGGCAAGCGUUGUCCGGAUUUACUGGGUGUAAAGGGCGUGUAGCCGGGUUGACAAGUCAGAUGUGAAAUCCUGCGGCUUAACCGCAGAACUGCAUUUGAAACUGUUGAUCUUGAGUACUGGAGAGGCAGACGGAAUUCCUAGUGUAGCGGUGAAAUGCGUAGAUAUUAGGAGGAACACCAGUGGCGAAGGCGGUCUGCUGGACAGCAACUGACGGUGAGGCGCGAAAGCGUGGGGAGCAAACAGGAUUAGAUACCCUUGUAGUC
rnacentral:rRNA from 1 species